rnacentral:rRNA from 1 species
AUUGAACGCUGGCGGCAGGCCUAACACAUGCAAGUCGAGCGGCAGCGGGAAAGUAGCUUGCUACUUUUGCCGGCGAGCGGCGGACGGGUGAGUAAUGCCUGGGGAUCCGCCCAGUCGAGGGGGAUAACUACUGGAAACGGUAGCUAAUACCGCAUACGCCCUACGGGGGAAAGCAGGGGACCUUCGGGCCUUGCGCGAUUGGAUGAACCCAGGUGGGAUUAGCUAGUUGGUGAGGUAAUGGCUCACCAAGGCGACGAUCCCUAGCUGGUCUGAGAGGAUGAUCAGCCACAAUGGAACUGAGACACGGUCCAGACUCCUACGGGAGGCAGCAGUGGGGAAUAUUGCACAAUGGGGGAAACCCUGAUGCAGCCAUGCCGCGUGUGUGAAGAAGGCCUUCGGGUUGUAAAGCACUUUCAGCGAGGAGGAAAGGUUGGUAGCUAAUAACUGCCAGCUGUGACGUUACUCGCAGAAGAAGCACCGGCUAACUCCGUGCCAGCAGCCGCGGUAACAC